rnacentral:snoRNA from 1 species
GGUGGCAAGGGAAAAAUGGAAAACAGAAUCAACAGGGGCCUCACUCACCACCUGCUGCCACUGUGUGGUAGGGUGAAACCCAGGCCCCAACAAUC